AUUGAACGCUGGCGGCAGGCUUAACACAUGCAAGUCGAGCGGGGAAAGGUAGCUUGCUACUGGACCUAGCGGCGGACGGGUGAGUAAUGCUUAGGAAUCUGCCUAUUAGUGGGGGACAACGUUCCGAAAGGAACGCUAAUACAGCAUACGCCCUACGGGGGAAAGCAGGGGAUCUUCGGACCUUGCGCUAAUAGAUGAGCCUAAGUCGGAUUAGCUAGUUGGUGGGGUAGAGGCCUACCAAGGCGACGAGCUGGAGCGGGUCUGAGAGGAUGAUCCGCCACACUGGGACUGAGAGAUGGCCCAGACUCCUACGGGAGGCAGCAGUGGGGAAUAUUGGACAAUGGGCGGAAGCCUGAUCCAGCCAUGCCGCGUGUGUGAAGAAGGCCUUUUGGUUGUAAAGCACUUUAAGCGAGGAGGAGGCUCCUUUAGUUAAUGCCUAAAGAGAGUGGACGUUACUCGCAGAAUAAGCACCGGCUAACUCUGUGCCAGCCGCCGCCGUAAGAC
rnacentral:rRNA from 1 species